rnacentral:rRNA from 1 species
AAGAGAAUGAUUAAACAAUUAAAAGCUUUCUUUAAUUGAAUAAUUGAAUUUAAUUUUUUAGUGCAAAAGCAAAAAUAAAAAUUAGGGACAAGAAGACCCUAUGAAUUUUUUAUUAAAUUUUAUAAAACUUUAUAUAAAAUUUAAUUUAAUUGGGGUGAUGGAAAAAGAAUAAAUAUCUUUUUUUUAAAAAAAAAAAUUGGUUCCGUUUUUAGCGAUUAAAUGAAAAAAAUACUCUAGGGAUAACAGCGUAAUAAUUUUGGAUAGUUCAUAUAGAUAAAAUAGUUUGCGACCUCGAUGUUGGAUUAGGAUUCUUUUUUGGUGAAGAAGUUAAAAAAAGAAGUUUGUUCAACUUAUAAUUUCCU